rnacentral:rRNA from 1 species
CGACCGUUAAGCCCUCCAGCGCCGAUGGUACUUGGGGUGCAGACCCCUGGGAGAGUAGGACGUUGCCAGGC